CGUAGCUCAGUAGGUAGAGCCCCGGAUUGUGAUUCCGGUUGUCGUGGGUUCGAGUCCCAUCG
rnacentral:tRNA from 1 species